UACGUAGGGGGCUAGCGUUGUCCGGAUUUAUUGGGCGUAAAGAGCGUGUAGGCGGCCAGGUAGGUCUGGUGUGAAAACUCGAGGCUUAACCUCGAGAUGUCAUCGGAAACCAUUUGGCUAGAGUCCGGAAGAGGAGAGUGGAAUUCCUGGUGUAGCGGUGAAAUGCGCAGAUAUCAGGAAGAACACCAAUGGCGAAAGCAGCUCUCUGGUACGUGACUGACGCUGAGACGCGAAAGCGUGGGGAGCAAACAGG
rnacentral:rRNA from 1 species